UAAAAGCAAAGUGUCUUGUUUUCAAUGUUGCAGGUGUGUGUCACUUAUUAGAAGCUUCUCCAUGAGAAAGAAGAUGUAUGAACAUGAUGGAGUUUGUAAUUUGUAGUUUAUAUUUUGGAGAUUUAUAAUUCCUUGUUUUUCUUGUCCUAUGUAUCUAUCUAGUUCAUUAGGGUUCUUCAAUGUAUCUUGUUAGUUUGUACUUUAAAGUUUAUAUGUUGAAGAUUUAUAAAA